rnacentral:rRNA from 1 species
UACAGAGGUCCCGAGCGUUGUUCGGAUUCACUGGGCGUAAAGGGUGCGUAGGUGGUGAGGAAAGUCGGAUGUGAAAUCUCCGGGCUUAACCCGGAAAUGGCAUUGGAAACUACCUUGCUAGAGGUUUUGAGGGGGGACUGGAAUUCUCGGUGUAGCAGUGAAAUGCGUAGAUAUCGAGAGGAACACCGGUGGCGAAGGCGAGUCCCUGGAAAACACCUGACACUGAGGCACGAAAGCUAGGGGAGCAAACAGG